UAGAGUUUGAUCCUGGCUCAGAACGUACGCUGGCGGCACGCCUAACACAUGCAAGUCGAACGAAGUAGCAAUACUUAGUGGCAGACGGGUGAGUAACAUGUAGGUAUCUGCCCUUUGGCCUGGAAUAACACGAGGAAACUUGUGCUAAUACCGGAUAAGUCUUUACGGAGAAAGCUUUAUGCACCAUUGGAUGAGCCUGCACUUGAUUAGUUUGUUGGUGGGGUAAUGGCCUACCAAGACUGUGAUCAAUAGCUGAUUUGAGAGGAUGAUCAGCCACAUUGGGACUGAGACACGGCCCAAACUCCUACGGGAGGCAGCAGUGGGGAAUCUUGCACAAUGGAGGAAACUCUGAUGCAGCGAUGCCGCGUGAGUGAAGAAGGCCCUUGGGUUGUAAAGCUCUUUCGUCGGGGAAGAAAAUGACUGUACCCGAAUAAGAAGGUCCGGCUAACUUCGUGCCAGCAGCCGCGGUAAUACGAAGGGACCUAGCGUAGUUCGGAAUUACUGGGCUUAAAGAGUUCGUAGGUGGUUGAAAAAGUUGGUGGUGAAAUCCCAGAGCUUAACUCUGGAACUGCCAUCAAAACUUUUCAGCUAGAGUAUGAUAGAGGAAAGCAGAAUUUCUAGUGUAGAGGUGAAAUUCGUAGAUAUUAGAAAGAAUACCAAUUGCGAAGGCAGCUUUCUGGAUCAUUACUGACACUGAGGAACGAAAGCAUGGGUAGCGAAGAGGAUUAGAUACCCUCGUAGUCCAUGCCGUAAACGAUGUGUGUUAGACGUUGGAAAUUUAUUUUCAGUGUCGCAGCAAAAGCGAUAAACACACCGCCUGGGGAGUACGACCGCAAGGUUAAAACUCAAAUGAAUUGACGGGGACCCGCACAAGUAGUGGAGCAUGUGGUUUAAUUCGAAGAUACGCGCAGAACCUUACCAACACUUGACAUGUUCGUCGCGACUCUAAGAGAUUAGAGUUUUCGGUUCGGCCGGACGAAACACAGGUGCUGCAUGGCUGUCGUCAGCUCGUGUCGUGAGAUGUUGGGUUAAGUCCCGCAACGAGCGCAACCCUCACUUUUAGUUGCCAUCAUUUAGUUGGGCACUCUGAAAGAACUGCCAGUGAUAAGCUGGAGGAAGGUGGGGAUGACGUCAAGUCCUCAUGGCCCUUACGUGUUGGGCUACACACGUGCUACAAUGGUAUCUACAACAGGAAGCAAAACGGCGACGUUAAGCAAAUCCUUAAAAGAUACCUCAGUUCGGAUUGCACUCUGCAACUCGAGUGCAUGAAGCUGGAAUUACUAGUAAUCGUGGAUCAGCGUGCCACGGUGAAUGCGUUCCCGGGUCUUGUACACACCGCCCGUCACACCAUGGGAGUUGGUUCUACCUUAAGGCAAGGUUUAAAACCCUUGACCACGGUAUAGUCAGCGACUGGGGUGAAGUCGUAACAAGGUAACCA
rnacentral:rRNA from 1 species